AUUGGAUGGGCUCCUUUGCAACCGGUCAGGAGGCCAGGGGAAGGAGGCCAGGGAACGAUUACUCCAAUCAGCUUCUGACUGCCCCCAGCCUCUGCCCCUGGGGAGAUCACCUGGCAGAGGCUGGGAUGAGAUUAGCAGAGGCCAUGGGUACUGGCUGGUGCCCAAAGGACAAAUGUCCACUCCCCGCCCCCAUCCUUACCCCGAUGCCAAGUGAUCUUUGUUAAGAUCAUGAGGCAGUUUUCCAAACGUUUUGGGGUGGAAACCCACAGUACCAAACACAGUCAGGGGUGAAUUUUCUAUUUCUUCUGUAACAAAUUGCCACAAACUUGGCAGCUUAGAGCAACCCAAAUGUACCAUCUUGCAAUCUGUAGGUCAGAAAUCCAAUGCUGUUCUCAUCAGGGCAAAUCCAAUUGUCACAGGGCUGUGUCCCUCUCUGGAGGUUCUGGGGAGAUCACUGCCUCGCUCCACAGCUCAGCAGAAUUCAUCUCCUGGCCGUUACAGAACCCGGGCCCCCGUUUCUUUGUGGACUGUAAACUGGGGGCUGUUCUGGGCAGGAGGCCCCCGCCUGCUUUUUCAAAGCCGCUGUGGGUGUCCAGUGUCUUCUUCCUUUUUGUGAUACUCUUCUGCCUCCCCUUCCAUUUUUAAGAGCCCCUGGGACUGUAACUGGGCCCAUCUGGACAAUCCAGAAUAAUCUCUCCCCUUUCAAAGUCUAUAACCUCAAUCAUGUUUACAAAGUUCUUUUUGCCCGUGUAGGACAACAUAUUCGCAGGACCUAGCAGUCAGGCCAGGGACAUCUCUGAGAGGUCAUUAUUCCACAGACCACACCGAUAUAUAAAGUGUUCCCAGAUAGGAAGGAGGGCUCGAACACUUUCCAUUGCAUUCUUUCUUACUCUGUUUCUCGGUUAAAGCCAGGGAUGCCCCACUUAUGUUCAGCAUCAAGAACGGGAACAUAGACUGCCUUGGUGAGCCUCUCAGCCUCAGCACUUUCUAACUGUGUAGUCUUGGGUGAGUCGCUUAACCUCUCUGUGCUCAGUUUUCCUUUUAACAACAUAACAGGAGUGAGGUUAGUAGUACCUACCCAGUUAGGGGCUUGUGAGGAUCUGAUUAACAGCUCCUAGCAAUAUAGUGAAAGCUAUGUAAGUAUAUGUUGUCAUUACUAAGUUGAUUUUUAAACAUCCCAUUAAAGAAAAGACCCUGCGUUAACGUCACUCAGCCACCAGAUGAGGACCACAGUGCUGCCCUGAGUCGCUGUCGUGGAAAGGCCUGAGGACAGCCCAGCCCAGCUGCUCCCAGGUCCAGGAAGCAGAAGGCCACACAGCCAGCAUGAGGCAGGGAGGGGUCGCUUAGGGUCUGACCUCCCACUGGGGGAUGCUGUGGACGUGGCAGUGACAGAGAAAGGCCCAACCUGUCCUCCCGGGGCCCACAUGCUGUCCCCAGACAGGGACGGCCCAGGAUGUGGGGGCUGUGGUGGGGAAGUCAGGGAGUCAGGUAGGAAAACUUGGGGGUACAUUGGAGCCCAGAAAAGGAGUUGGCCCUGCCUGGGGAGUCAGGAGGCGUCCAGAGGAGGGACAUCUGAGACGAGGCCCGAGGGACAAGUCAAAGUCAGAUGGUAAGUGAGAGGCAACUGUUCCGGGAGGAAGGGACGCGUCCUCAGAAGCCGGGAGCCGAGUGCAGUCAAGUCAGGGGGUGGGGGGCGGCUGGGGAGAGGCAAGGCCUGGACCUGGCCGGGGCUGGCCUGGGGCCUUGAACGGCAGGCCAGGAGUGAGGACCGUCUUGAGGCUUGUGGCCCCUGACCCCCAGGACUCCAGGCCAGUACCUCCAGUCCCCCGUGCUUCCCGGAACAGGAAGUGAGCUCAGGGGGCCACAAACAAAGCCUCUUGUCAGGAGGGAGUGGCCACCAACACUUAAAUUUUACAUGAUUUUCACACUUCACAAAAUAUCAUCCUUGUUUUCCUUUGGUCCCCGACCAUUCAAACAUUAGAAACACUAUUCUUAGGCUGUGGACUGUGAAUCACAGGUGGUGGGCCAGAGGGGGCCCCAGGGGAGUAGCUGGUCAGCCUUUUGCUCCAAAACAGCUGCCCCAUGAGGUCACAGAUUUCUAACUGUCUGGGUCACUACGGCACCCCCAGUCUCUCGAGUGCCCCUGGCAUGGAGGGGAUCCCCAAUCAACUGAACAAACCAACGCUACAGAGAAGGGCUUCGGUACAUGUAUUAAUUCUUUCAACAAAUAUUCAUCGAGGGUGCCAUGGAGCUGGGCCCUGGGGAGACAGAAGGGACCAGAACUGGGUCCUGGGGGAGCGAGUUGUCCCUUUGGUGCAUCUACUUCUGUCCCUCCAGAACUACCCUGUGUUCCUCACAGUCACUGUGAGCUUGGUGGCUCCUCCUGUCCCAGCCCCUGUGCGUAGCCUGCUGCCCGACAGCUGCCCCAUGCUGUGCCAGCAGGGCAUCAGUGUGACUUGGCUUUGUGCUAGUGGCACUGACUGCUUGUCCCCCAUCCAGUGAGCCUGCUCCAUGGAGGGCACUUGCCACCUGGCUGGGGAGGCCUGAGCAGGCAGCAUGUGAGAAAUUCUACAGGGUGAGGCUCUGCCCACGCUGUGAACUGCUGUCCUCCUCCAUGGGCCUGGGUGGAGCUGAGGGACCCUCAAGGGCACGUUUGGGUGCUGCCCACUGUCCCCUGGCACCUGCCAGGCAAAUGGGCCCUUGCACGUUAUCACCUUUGACGGGAGGAUCUUGGAGCUCCCAGGCAGCUGCGUGCCCGUCCUGGCCAAGUCUGUGGCUCUCUGGCUCAACGCCCUUCUUCAGAGUAGAACUGGGCAAGGACAGGCCCAACCUCCCUGUCACACUCAUCUCAGAAGCACGACCCAGGUCCACCUGCAGAAGGACAUGGCUCAGGUGAGUGGUGAGACAGUAGCCCACCUGUAAGCUCUAGAGGGGACAGCCUUGUCAUGUCCUGGAAUGGCCUCUUCUUCAUGCUGUGGUUGGACUUCCGCCUGUGGCUCACCACAAACCUCGUACAGCCUCACCUGCCCCAGCCCCAGAAGGGUCACACCUGUGGGCUCUGCAGCAACUUCCGUGGCAACCUAGCAACGAUGCUGAAUCCCUUGUCACCUUGGGGAAGCAGAGCAAGGCUUGUGGGGACGACUGUGGAGCUGCCUUCCAGUCUGCAAUGACCAGGAGCAGAUUGUGUCUGUGAGGAGGCAGUGUGGGCUCCUGCAGGAACCCCAGGGGCCCCUUGGUCCCUGCCACAGGAGAUCAACCUGGAUCCAUGUAGAUCCAGCUGUGUCGGUGAUGUGUGUCUUGCUAUGACCGCAUCCUCUGCUUGGCCCUGCAGACAUAGGCUGCAGUCUGCCAGGGUACAAAUGUCACCCUUGGGCACUGGAGAAAUUCUUCCUUCUGUGGUAAGUCAUGGUUGAGCCGGACAUAUUCUGCAUAUUCCAUAUGGUCAUGCCAGUAGAUCACAGACUGAAAUACUUCUAGACCCCUGAGUUGCCCAAGUGCUACCAGCCACUUCCUGCAUUCCAAAGCCUGGCAAGACAGGGCUCCCAGAUCUUCUGGGUAAGCUCGAGAUCUUCUAAGGGGUGAAGCCUAUAUUCUACUGAUUGCUACAUUUUUUUUGGUGGGGGCACCAGGGAUUGAACCCAGGGGUCCUUUUACCACUGAGCCACAUCCCCAGCCAUUUUUAAUAUUUUAUUUAGAGACAGGGUCUCACUGAAUUGCUCAGGGCCUCACUAAGUUGCUGAAGCUGGCUUUGAACUUGUGAUCCUCCUGGCUCAGCCUCCUGGUCCACUGGGAUUAUAGGUGUGUGCCACCAGGCCUGGCUGCUACAUGUUUUUAAUACCACCCUGGUCAGACCUUCAGAAAACCUGACCUGAGAUGCCUACCUUUCACCUCCCAAAGAUGACAAAAUAAUAAUAAUGCCAACAACCACUAAUACCUACUGCACACCUGCAGUGUCCCAGGCACAGGGCUAAGGGUUCUGUGUACUUAUUGCUGUCAGCUUCUCCAGAACACCUUGCAAGUCAGAGCGGAUGACUGCUAUCAUCCCCAUUUUACAGCUGAGAAAGCUGAGGCUCACAGAGCUCAGCCAGUUGUCCAUAGCUAAUUGACAUUUGAGCCCUAUUUUCUCUAGCGAUGGAAGAAGUUUUAUUAUGGUCCUAUCUUUCAAUUCUUUCCUUCUUGUUUACUUGAGUUCCAUAUUAUAGAUGUUUUCAUCAUAAGUGAAAGGAGAGAGAGGAGUGUAAUUAAUGCCCUGGACCCAUCAAGCAUCUUCAACAAUGGUCAAGUCGGGGUCAACUUUGGCUCCAUCCCAACUUAUUUACUUUUUUUUUUCUGGUACUGAGGAUUGAACUCAGGGGCACUCAACCACUGAGCCACAUCCCCAGCCCUAUUUUGUAUUUUAUUUAGAGACAGGGUCUCACUGAGUUGCAUAGCGCCUCACCGUUGCUGAGGCUGGCUUUGAACUCACGAUCCUCCUGUCUCAGCCUCCUAAACUGCCUGGAUUACAGGCGUGCGCCACCGCACCCGGCUUUAUUUAUUUACUUUUUAUAAAACAAGCCUCAGAUGUUGGGUCAAUCUGUAAAUAUUCCAACAUGAUUCUCUAAUAGAUUGGACUUCAGAAAGAAUAAAAAUUACCAUGAUUUACUCACACCUAACAGAAGGAGUAAUAAUUUCUUGGUAGCAUGAAAAACCUAGUCCUUCUGAUCCUCCUUCAAAAGUCUUUCUUUCCUUCCUUGUGCCAGAGUUGUUGCUGGCUCCCCGGUGCAGGUGUUCCCCCCGCCCAGGUUCUAACAUUAUUGGGGCAAUAGGGGCAGGGCAGGUUCUCUGGGGACAGCAGCUCCUUCGCUCAACCAGGGCACCAAAAGCCUCCACAGAGCCAUCCUGGGGGGUCAGGACACCCCUAAAGCCAGGCCCUGUCCGUGAUCAAUGUGAGUGUCUGACACUCAGCCUUUGCCUCUCAGAGAUGCUGGAGUUGGGGUAGAAUGGGGUUCAUGCAGUGGCAAAGGUAGACGGGGGCUCUCUGUGAAGUAAGAAGUCAAGUUCACCCGGGCCCUCAGCGUGGGGCUCUGCCCCAGUCUCCUAAUUUAACUUAACCUUCAACACAAGUAUGAGGUCGGUAUUCAAGAGCCGAUUUGCCAGAGGAGGGGACUAAACCCCAACAACAGGAGCUGGUGGCAGACAGGUCAGGGAUUGGAAGCCCCGGGGCAGGGAGCUGAGAACUGCGGAGCCCUGUCCUCCUCGCCUGCGUUUCCCCUGCCUGCCCAGCCGCGAAGCUCCCAGAGCACAGCGGCUACCGCACCAGGGGCUCCGCCUGCCCAGCUGUGCCAACCCCACGGCGGCCCCGCCUGCAUGGAGGGCUGUUCUUGUGAUGUGUGCACCAUGGACAGUGCGCCUGCGCACACGGUGGCCGCACCUGCCAAGUGAGCCAAGGGCUGGGCCUUGCUCCUGUGAGUGGGACUGGUCAUCCUGGGGGAUCACAGAACCCCAGGACACGCUAGGUUGCCCGAUCCAGGACGGCACGCUGGGAAUUGACUGUUGUCUCUGUGGUUGCUGGAAUUAUUGAUCUACUGCUAUUGAUGUUUAUUAAGCUCAUUCUCCGUGCACAGCCUGAGAUGCUGAGUGCUUAAUAUUAUUACUAUUGUUAGCAUCAUUGGUUUUUAAAAAUUAACUAGUAUUUAAUGGGCUCCUACUAAAUGGUUGGCCCCCAACUCAACCAUGUGAUGGUAUAUCAAUAUCAAUAAAAAAACCAAUAAUCACAACAGUUAAUAUUAUUUAGCAUUAAUACAUACAAAACUGUAUUAAUAAUACAGUUUUAAUAAUAGUGAGUUACUAUGUUGAUGUAAGUGAGUUACUAUGUUGCUGUUAUUGUUGUCAUUAUUUCAUUUUAUUUUAUUAUUGCUUUUUGGUACCAGGGAUUGAACUCAGCGGUGCUCAACCCCUGCGCCACAUCCCCAGCCCUUUUUAUUUUUUAUUUUGAGACAGGGCCUUGCUAAGUUGCUGAGGCUGGCUUCAAACUUGCCAUCCUCCUUCUUUAGCCUCCUGAAUUGCUGGGAUUACAGCAUAUGCCACCAUGCCUGGCUGUUUGUGUUAUUUUAAUCACGGAAUUUGAGCCCUGACCCUAUGUCAUUUCCUAUACUGCUACUACUAAUUAAAAUGUAUUGGGCCUUUAGUUGGUAUCCAUGUCCAGGCUAAGUAUUUUAAUAGUAGUUAAAGUAAUAAUAAUAAUAAUAAAAAUAAUAAUAAUGCAUGGUGGGCAUUUGCUGUGUGUAAGCAUAUUAAAUGAUAAUGAUAAGAAUAAUAAUGCUCAGUAUGUCCUGGGCAUAUAUUAUGUUUCUGUAAUAAUCAUUAUACACACACACACACACACACACAUAUAUUAUAUAAUGAUAAUAGCAGCAAACAUUUUUGGUCACUUACUACGUGUAUGAUUCUGUCACCAUAGUAACAAGUCAUAUUUUCGGAGAGCUCAUCCUGAGCCAGGCACUGGGCCAGCACAUUCGCCACAGUAUCAGCUGACGUAAGUCAAGGGCGUGCUUGCUGUGGGCUGGCGGCUGCUGAGCGCCUCCCACACAUGAUCACACUGGCCCUCAACACAGUGCUCAUUGCCCGAUUGGAGAGAGAGAGGAAACUGAGGCUGCAGCAUGCCCAGAGCCCUCCGGGGACAGAGCCAGGUCUGGACCCUUCACCACCGGGCUGUGCUUUCUGCGGAAGGAAAAUGGUCUUCACAAGUUUGCUGCCUUCUCGGCAAGGAGGUGACCACAGGGUCCAGCCCGCUGUUGUUGUUGAGCAUCCCUGCGUUCUUGCCCAGCCCCAAGCUAAGCAGCCCUCCGCCUCGGCUGUUUUGGACCCACCCCCAGUGUGGGGAGCCAUUCUGACACGUGACUGGGCUGGGCAGCUCCCGUUAAGGGUCUGAGGCUUCUGGCUGUGUCGGAACUUUCCCGGCCCUUUCCUGAUGAGAGAACCCAUCCGUGUGGGGGUGUGACUGACCACUGACCCCGGGGGGCCCAAUCACUGACCCUGACCUUGGAGUGCAGUCCCCCCUCAACCUUCAUUGGAUGGAAUUCUCCCCUGAAUCUCUUGUUCCCCAAUAAAAAGCUACUCCCAGGCGUGUUCACUCUCCCUCUCUCCUGCUAGCCCUGAGUAAUCCUUGCUGCCCUGCUGGGCGGUUAGAGGAGGGAACCAGAGAGGGGAGCCGUCUCGGACCUGGCAAUAGAAAU